UUAAUUUAUUAGUCGAGGCAAAUUCCGUGCUUAAUAAAGAGCAGAAGAGUAAAAAAAUAUUUCCAGUAUAUUUGGAUGGUAGUAUUAUGCUAAACAAAAUGUCGAAAACACCUUGCAUAAAUGAUUAUACUACUUUUUUAAAAAAACACGAAAAUGCAGAAACUCACUUAUUUAUUUUAUUCAAAACUGUAAAUUGUUAUAAAAUAUAUGAACCGUAUUUUACGAAUAUAGAAAAUAAUGAAACGUUUAUAGCACUAGUAGAUCCAGAAGAUCAAAAAAAUGAAAUGUUUAAUUUUCAAUAUGUAUAUCAACAAACAUACCCAAUCCAAUAUAAUUCCAUAUCAACAAAAAUUUUACUUAAUAACAUAAUUAGAAUUCUUACAUUUAUUCUCAUAGAUCAUGUCGCUUUUCCUAAAAUCUUAAAUAAUAAAAAAGAAGAGAACGAAUUUUUAAGAACUAUCAGACAAUAUGUGAAAUUUCCCUUUAAUAAAUUUUAUGUAAUUAAUUAUGUUGGAACAGACGUACUUAUUCAUUAUUACAAAUCGAAAAGUUAUCGUAACAUUAAAAGUGAUUUUCAAGACGACCUAAAGAAUGUCGAUGUCAUACUUUUGAAAAAAACUUCAAAUAUUGAAAAUAUAAAAAAUGCACUAAAACAUACUAUUCAAUUUGCUGAGUAUGUAAAAGAGAGCGAAAAGCGUUAUAUAAAAACUGAAAUUAGUAUUUUAGUUGUAACAAAUAUAGAAAAGUUAAAUUUGAUAAAAACAGAAACAAAAAAAUAUGAAAAUAAACAGGAAGAUACAAAGAAAAGCUUAUCAAGAAUAUAUGUUGUGUCAUUUGAAAAUAAAGAUAAUAAAGACAAAGAUACAAUAAUUAUGAAAUCUAUUAAAGAUGCAAAUGAUAUAUAUGUAUACGAUAGUGAUGAAUUCACAAAACAUCUAUUUUUUUUUUCUUUUCAUCAUUAUAAAGUUGAUGAAAAAUACCUAGACAAAUAUAUUACAACAAUAAUACAAGAUUAUAUAUUUUUACACACAUAUAUUUAUAAAACAUCAUGGUAUGUAAUAGGAAUAUGUAGAUAUAAUGUAAAUAAAAAUGAAAAAACAAAGAGAAAAUUAAAUUUAUAUUUUUACGAUAAAAUAAUAAAAGAAAUUACUUAUAUUAUAUCAAAAGAAUCUACAAAACAUGUCCUUUACGAUCAAUCUACUCCCUUUCAUGACAUGUGCAACAUCUUUACCCAAUCCAAAUUGUUAGGAUAUAAGUAGCAAUGCACUAGUUUUACCCAAUUCGAAUUGUUAUAGUGCAUAAUUAGCAAUGCGCCACUUUUACCCAAUUCGAGUUGUUAGCAUAUAAUUGGUAAAAAUGUUCGAAUUUGUUUGCUCUCCAUGCAAUGGCUAAACAUAACAAUUUUUUUUUUUUUUUUUUUUUUUUGUAAUCAUUUUUUUACACAUUUUUUACACAUUUUUUACACAUUUUUUACAUAUUUUUUGACACAUUUUUUUACACAUUUUUUUACACAUUUUUUUUUUUAUUCAAAACGGUAAAUAUAAUUCCAACUUUUAUAAGAUGCAUUUUUAAAAUUUUAAUAAAAUUUUAAUCCU
ensembl:lncRNA